GAUGAACGCUGGCGGCGUGCUUAACACAUGCAAGUCGAACGGAAAGGCCCAAGCUUGCUUGGGUCCUCGAGUGGCGAACGGGUGAGUAACACGUGGGUGAUCUGCCCUGCACUUCGGGAUAAGCCUGGGAAACUGGGUCUAAUACCGGAUAGGACCACAUUUUGGUUGAUGUGGUGGAAAGUUUUUCGGUGUGGGAUGAGCUCGCUGCCUAUCAGCUUGUUGGUGGGGUAAUGGCCUACCAAGGCGUCGACGGGUAGCCGGCCUGAGAGGGUGUACGGCCACAUUGGGACUGAGAUACGGCCCAGACUCCUACGGGAGGCAGCAGUGGGGAAUAUUGCACGAUGGGCGCAAGCCUGAUGCAGCGACGCCGCGUGGGGGAUGACGGCCUUCGGGUUGUAAACUCCUUUCGCUAGGGACGAAGCGCAAGUGACGGUACCUGGAGAAGAAGCACCGGCUAACUACGUG
rnacentral:rRNA from 1 species